AACGAACGCUGGCGGCGUGCCUCAGACAUGCAAGUCGAACGAUUAAGACUUCCUUCGGGAAGUGCAUAAAGUGGCGCACGGGUGAGUAACACGUAAGUAAUCUACCCUCGAGUGGGGAAUAACGUUCGGAAACGAACGCUAAUACCGCAUAAUGCAGCGGCAUCGCAAGAUGACAGUUGUUAAAGGAGUAAUUCGCUUGAGGAGGAGCUUGCGGCAGAUUAGCUAGUUGGUAAGGUAACGGCUUACCAAGGCUACGAUCUGUAUCCGGUCUAAGAGGACAGUCGGACACACUGACACUGAAUAACGGGUCAGACUCCUACGGGAGGCAGCAGUCGGGAAUUUUGGGCAAUGGGCGAAAGCCUGACCCAGCAACGCCGCGUGAAGGAUGAAGUAUUUCGGUAUGUAAACUUCGAAAGAAUGGGAAGAAUAAAUGACGGUACCAUUUAUAAGCCCCGGCUAACUUCGUGCCAGCCGCCGCGGUAAAAC
rnacentral:rRNA from 1 species